GGGUUGUGAGGUUAAGCGACUAAGCGUACACGGUGGAUGCCCUGGCAGUCAGAGGCGAUGAAGGACGUGCUAAUCUGCGAUAAGCGUCGGUAAGGUGAUAUGAACCGUUAUAACCGGCGAUUUCCGAAUGGGGAAACCCAGUGUGAUUCGUCACACUAUCAUUAACUGAAUCCAUAGGUUAAUGAGGCGAACCGGGGGAACUGAAACAUCUAAGUACCCCGAGGAAAAGAAAUCAACCGAGAUUCCCCCAGUAGCGGCGAGCGAACGGGGAGCAGCCCAGAGCCUGAAUCAGUAUGUGUGUUAGUGGAAGCGUCUGGAAAGGCGCGCGAUACAGGGUGACAGCCCCGUACACAAAAAUGCACAUGCUGUGAGCUCGAUGAGUAGGGCGGGACACGUGGUAUCCUGUCUGAAUAUGGGGGGACCAUCCUCCAAGGCUAAAUACUCCUGACUGACCGAUAGUGAACCAGUACCGUGAGGGAAAGGCGAAAAGAACCCCGGCGAGGGGAGUGAAAAAGAACCUGAAACCGUGUACGUACAAGCAGUGGGAGCACGCUUAGGCGUGUGACUGCGUACCUUUUGUAUAAUGGGUCAGCGACUUAUAUUCUGUAGCAAGGUUAACCGAAUAGGGGAGCCGAAGGGAAACCGAGUCUUAACUGGGCGUUAAGUUGCAGGGUAUAGACCCGAAACCCGGUGAUCUAGCCAUGGGCAGGUUGAAGGUUGGGUAACACUAACUGGAGGACCGAACCGACUAAUGUUGAAAAAUUAGCGGAUGACUUGUGGCUGGGGGUGAAAGGCCAAUCAAACCGGGAGAUAGCUGGUUCUCCCCGAAAGCUAUUUAGGUAGCGCCUCGUGAAUUCAUCUCCGGGGGUAGAGCACUGUUUCGGCAAGGGGGUCAUCCCGACUUACCAACCCGAUGCAAACUGCGAAUACCGGAGAAUGUUAUCACGGGAGACACACGGCGGGUGCUAACGUCCGUCGUGAAGAGGGAAACAACCCAGACCGCCAGCUAAGGUCCCAAAGUCAUGGUUAAGUGGGAAACGAUGUGGGAAGGCCCAGACAGCCAGGAUGUUGGCUUAGAAGCAGCCAUCAUUUAAAGAAAGCGUAAUAGCUCACUGGUCGAGUCGGCCUGCGCGGAAGAUGUAACGGGGCUAAACCAUGCACCGAAGCUGCGGCAGCGACGCUGAUGCGUUGUUGGGUAGGGGAGCGUUCUGUAAGCCUGCGAAGGUGUGCUGUGAGGCAUGCUGGAGGUAUCAGAAGUGCGAAUGCUGACAUAAGUAACGAUAAAGCGGGUGAAAAGCCCGCUCGCCGGAAGACCAAGGGUUCCUGUCCAACGUUAAUCGGGGCAGGGUGAGUCGACCCCUAAGGCGAGGCCGAAAGGCGUAGUCGAUGGGAAACAGGUUAAUAUUCCUGUACUUGGUGUUACUGCGAAGGGGGGACGGAGAAGGCUAUGUUGGCCGGGCGACGGUUGUCCCGGUUUAAGCGUGUAGGCUGGUUUUCCAGGCAAAUCCGGAAAAUCAAGGCUGAGGCGUGAUGACGAGGCACUACGGUGCUGAAGCAACAAAUGCCCUGCUUCCAGGAAAAGCCUCUAAGCAUCAGGUAACAUCAAAUCGUACCCCAAACCGACACAGGUGGUCAGGUAGAGAAUACCAAGGCGCUUGAGAGAACUCGGGUGAAGGAACUAGGCAAAAUGGUGCCGUAACUUCGGGAGAAGGCACGCUGAUAUGUAGGUGAAGUCCCUCGCGGAUGGAGCUGAAAUCAGUCGAAGAUACCAGCUGGCUGCAACUGUUUAUUAAAAACACAGCACUGUGCAAACACGAAAGUGGACGUAUACGGUGUGACGCCUGCCCGGUGCCGGAAGGUUAAUUGAUGGGGUUAGCGCAAGCGAAGCUCUUGAUCGAAGCCCCGGUAAACGGCGGCCGUAACUAUAACGGUCCUAAGGUAGCGAAAUUCCUUGUCGGGUAAGUUCCGACCUGCACGAAUGGCGUAAUGAUGGCCAGGCUGUCUCCACCCGAGACUCAGUGAAAUUGAACUCGCUGUGAAGAUGCAGUGUACCCGCGGCAAGACGGAAAGACCCCGUGAACCUUUACUAUAGCUUGACACUGAACAUUGAGCCUUGAUGUGUAGGAUAGGUGGGAGGCUUUGAAGUGUGGACGCCAGUCUGCAUGGAGCCGACCUUGAAAUACCACCCUUUAAUGUUUGAUGUUCUAACGUUGACCCGUAAUCCGGGUUGCGGACAGUGUCUGGUGGGUAGUUUGACUGGGGCGGUCUCCUCCUAAAGAGUAACGGAGGAGCACGAAGGUUGGCUAAUCCUGGUCGGACAUCAGGAGGUUAGUGCAAUGGCAUAAGCCAGCUUGACUGCGAGCGUGACGGCGCGAGCAGGUGCGAAAGCAGGUCAUAGUGAUCCGGUGGUUCUGAAUGGAAGGGCCAUCGCUCAACGGAUAAAAGGUACUCCGGGGAUAACAGGCUGAUACCGCCCAAGAGUUCAUAUCGACGGCGGUGUUUGGCACCUCGAUGUCGGCUCAUCACAUCCUGGGGCUGAAGUAGGUCCCAAGGGUAUGGCUGUUCGCCAUUUAAAGUGGUACGCGAGCUGGGUUUAGAACGUCGUGAGACAGUUCGGUCCCUAUCUGCCGUGGGCGCUGGAGAACUGAGGGGGGCUGCUCCUAGUACGAGAGGACCGGAGUGGACGCAUCACUGGUGUUCGGGUUGUCAUGCCAAUGGCACUGCCCGGUAGCUAAAUGCGGAAGAGAUAAGUGCUGAAAGCAUCUAAGCACGAAACUUGCCCCGAGAUGAGUUCUCCCUGACUCCUUGAGAGUCCUGAAGGAACGUUGAAGACGACGACGUUGAUAGGCCGGGUGUGUAAGCGCAGCGAUGCGUUGAGCUAACCGGUACUAAUGAACCGUGAGGCUUAACCUUACAACGCCGAAG
rnacentral:rRNA from 1 species